UACAGCAAAGGAAAAAACUUAACCCUCAUCUUCUCUUCGAAGCUAAAGGGCGAAGAAAGCUCUUCCACCCUCCACCGUACUAUCAAUCCUAACCCACUCGGAGACGCCAUUGAACCGUAGUUCACUAGGACAUCCGAAAUCGCACCAUCAUCGCAAGUCCCAGGAAGCUCUAAAUCGCAACUCACCAUCAUCGCACCAUCAUCGUCGCUGCAUCCUUCCCGAAAUCUUCGCUGCCUCCUCCUUUCCGGUGUCGCUGAGUCUCUCUUCUCCACGGCGUCACUGCUUUUCCCCUCUCCGUGGCUUCAUUGCUUUUCCAUUCUCUGAGGUGUCCUUGCGUCUCCCGUGUUCCGCUUCUGCUUCGCUGCUUCUCCCCUGUUCUGCUUCGCUGCUUCUACCUUGCUGCUUCUGUUUCAUUGUCUUUGCUGAUUGUGGGUUGUGCUUCGCUGCUUCACUGCAUUGGCCGUUUGUGGGUUGUCAUCUGUGGUAAGUGGUCUUCUCCUCUGAUUUUUUGUUGCUUAGUUAGGGUUUGAUUGGCUGUUGCCUAUUUUUGUUGGAGUUACGAAGAAGAAAGGAAAGUGGUGAUGUUUGUGAACAUGAGCAAGAUGAGUGUUGAAUGUUCACUGAGUUUUUGUUCUAAUUUGAAUUUGUGAACUGAGAAUUUCAAAUACCCCCAAAAUAGGACAUCAUUCGCAUAGAGAUUGCAACAACUAGUUUCUGUUAGUAUUGUACAGGAGGAUGUGACACAUGCCUAGUGCUUUAAAUUUGUUUUUAAUUAUUUAAGUAUUCAAUAGCUUAAUCGUGCUCAUGAGAUUGGUUCAGUUGGUUCUAUAAGGUUUUUCUACUCUUACAUAAAAGAAGCAAAAAUUUUUAACGAACUCAAUAGUGAGAAAAUCUUAUUAGAGUCAACUGAAUCAAUUCCAUAAAUACAGUUAAGUGGUUGAUUACUCUAAUUAAUUAUUGAAAACAAAUCUAAAAUGUUAGUAAUAGUUUCCUUCUUUCUAUUGUGCUUAACUGCUUAUCCAAUUUUUUAGUACAUAAAUUUUCGUUUGGGAUAACUGAGGAAAUUCUAUUGCCAACCAGUGUGUGAUUGUGACCCUGUUCGAGUAGCAAUACAAGGAAAUUUAUAUAAUGUUGGGCAGAGACAACAAUGAAGAAAACACGAGGACUUACAUAAUGCUUGAAGAUUCAUGCAAGACAGUUGGAAGAUAGAGAAAAAAUUUCUCUAGAUAUUGAAGGAGAGACAAUUGGUCUUACUGAUGAAGCUGUAAACAACUUGAGCAAAUUUUUGGGCACCGUGGCAAGGAAUUCAUAUUUUUGUCCAUUAAUUUACACAAAUUGAAAGGGGAUUAAAGAUAAAGAAGCCAUUUGGGAAUAUAUUUAAGCUAAACUCAUUAUUCCAACUGAAGGAAAGAGGAUAGUCCUUGCUCAUAUCAAUGACAACUGGAGAAGGUAUAAGACCACAAUAAAGCAAACUCAUUUUUUGCCAUACAAAUGUGUUAAUGAGAUGUUGAAAAAUCGUCCUAAAAGCAUACCUGAGAGUCAUUUUCACAAGUUAAUUGCUUAUGGAGAACUGAGAAAGUUAAGAAAAUGUCCUCGCAGAAUGAGAAAAAUAGGGCACAACAAAAAUUUUGGCAUCGAAAGGGACCAAUAAAUUUUGCAAGAAUACGUGCAAGCUUGACUUAUAGGCUGCUUCUAAGGAAAAUAAUGAACCACCUACUCAAGCAGAAAUAUUUGUUGAGACUCUCCAAAGCACAAAGGAAAAAUCAUUGGAUCAAGACACUUUGGAUGUUAUUGCACAUUUGCAAGCUUAGAAUAAAAAGUCUAAAGAAUAAGCAAUUAGAGCUUUCCAAUCUAUAUUUGGAAAAGAGAAGGCAGGGAGAGUGCAAUGUCAUGGAAGAGUUACUACACCAACUUUGUUGAAGAAAAAUGAAGAAGUUGCCACCCUUAAGCAGCAACAUGCAACUGAGAAAGCAACAUUAGAGGUAAGAUUGAUGUGAUGCAAAAAGAAGUAGAUAAACUAAAAUCGCUUGUUAAGAUAAUGCUGCAACAAAAAAGCUCAGGAGUGGACCUUGACUUGUUAGCUGCUCAAUUAGGAAGCACUUUAGGCAAUCCGAAUGAUGAUGCGCAUGAUGAGGUAUUAUUUGUUGUUAAAGUUUUUAUAUGUUAUCAUAUCUUAAAUAAUGGUUGAUUAUGAUGUAUGUUGAUUCAAUUGUUUUGUGUAUCCAAAUAGAAGAAUGUUAUGAUAUAUAUGU